UACGUAGGGAGCGAGCGUUGUCCGGAUUUACUGGGUGUAAAGGGGGCGCAGACGGCGAUGCAAGCCAGGAGUGAAAGCCCGGGGCCCAACCCUGGGACUGCUCUUGGAACUGCGUGGCUGGAGUGCAGGAGGGGCAGGCGGAAUUCCUGGUGUAGCGGUGAAAUGCGUAGAUAUCAGGAGGAACACCGGUGGCGAAGGCGGCCUGCUGGACUGCAACUGACGUUGAGGCCCGAAAGCGUGGGGAGCAAACAGG
rnacentral:rRNA from 1 species